rnacentral:rRNA from 1 species
CAAAAACAUGUCCUUUUGAAUUUAAUUUAAGGUCUGGCCUGCCCAGUGAAUUAUUUUAACGGCCGCGGUAUAUUGACCGUGCAAAGGUAGCAUAAUCAUUAGUCUUUUAAUAGAGGGCUGGAAUGAAAGGUUUAACGAAGAACUGACUGUCUCAUUUUAUAUGUAUUAAAAUUUAAUUUUUUAGUUAAAAAGCUAAAAUUACAUUGGAAGACGAGAAGACCCUAUAGAUCUUUAUAUACAUUUUUUAAAACUUAUUUUAUAUUAUUAUAUUUUACUAAAUUUAUAUUUGGUUGGGGUGACAAAAAUAACAAUUAACUUUUUUAUUUUUUNAACAUUAAUUUAUGAUUAUUUGAUCCGUUAUUAGUGAUUAAUAGAUUNAGUUNCCUNAGGGNAACACGCGUAAUCUCCCU